UUAAUUCAUACAUCUUAUUUAAUUUCUGUUGUUGGUUUAUUUGUUUUUAUUUGAUGUUAAGAUUAAGGGGGAUUAGCUCCUUGUUUUACUUUUAUAAUUGGUUUUUAAUUUAGUUUUGUGGAUUUUAUGGUGAUUUUCUAUUUGAUUAUGUUAAAAUUUUAUUUGUUAUUUUUUUAAUUUUUUGUUAUUUAAGUUAUUUAUUGAAAUGUUUUCUUUACUUUUAGUUUGUAUAGUAAUUAUUGUGUAAUUAGUAAAUUUUAUUGGUUGUUUUGUUAAUAAGUGUUAAUUGCUUUUGAGGAAUUCGGCAAAGUUUUAUGUCCGCCUGUUUAACAAAAACAUCUUUUCUUGUUAGUUUUUGAAGUAUGGCCUGCCCACUGACGUUGAAGGGCCGCGGUAUUUUGACCGUGCAAAGGUAGCAUAAUCAUUAGUUCUUUAAUUGUGAUCUGGUAUGAAUGGCUUGACGAGACAUGAGCUGUCUUAGAGGUAUUGUUUAUUGAAUUUGGUUUUUGAGUUAAAAUUCUUAAAUGUUUUUAUGGGACGAGAAGACCCUAUAGAGUUUGACAGGCUUCUUAUUUAUUCUUUGUUUGUCUUGUUUUGAAUGGGAAUAGCUGUUUUGUUGGGGUGAUGGGAGGAUUUAACUCCUCUUUAUUUUUGUAU
rnacentral:rRNA from 1 species